rnacentral:rRNA from 1 species
UACGUAGGGGGCAAGCGUUGUCCGGAUUUAUUGGGCGUAAAGAGCGUGUAGGCGGCUUUACAGGUCCGUUGUGAAAACUCGAGGCUCAACCUCGAGACGCCGGUGGAAACCGUAAGGCUAGAGUCCGGAAGAGGAGAGUGGAAUUCCUGGUGUAGCGGUGAAAUGCGCAGAUAUCGGGAGGAACACCAGUGGCGAAGGCGACUACCUGGCCUGUUCUUGACGCUGAGGCGCGAAAGCUAGGGGAGCAAACGGG